GUUACUUGACUGGUACCUCCAGCCCACCAGCAGGCAAUGAUGGCAUCAGACUAGAGGAUCACCAGUAAAUCAUUGUAAACAUUCUUGAAUAUGAGUCAGUCUGGUAUGAACAUACCUCUAACAGCCUCGCAUACACACUUGCUGAUCUCCCCCUUACAAGCAACAGAAAACAGGUCUUGACCCAGAGCCUUCAACAAACAAGCGUGGAAAGAGAGAAAGUCCACUUUAAGCGAUGGAAAAUCAGCCCCAAUUCUGAAGGAACAACCAUGAACAGAUGAUUUAAGGAGAAUCAAUUCUUUGCUCUUUGCAGAAGGAGCCAACAGAGUGAGAUGAAGGGGACAACUUCAGAUACUCAGGCAGAAGCAUAAGUCCCCACCUGCUGACCUGCUGCCUGCUAUCUUAACACGAAUUCUUCAUCUGAAUGGAUGAGCUUUUCACAGAGUUCCAAACUAAGGAAUCCAGGAGUGGCCAAUCCAGAGAUUCAUUCCUUAUCUUUGACGAACAUCUGAACUCCUGGCUCAUCCUGUGGAAUUCAGGCCAUACAGGAGAUCAAGGUCAUUUGCUUUGGGUUAAAUGAAUGUUGCCAGGUGGAGGUUGCUAGAGGGAGAGUGCUAUGUGAAAGUGCUGUAUAAACUGCUUGCUUUUCACAAACAGUAGUGAUUCUUUAUCCUGUCCAGCCUGCCACAACUGGACCAUCCUGUAUGUAAGUCCCCUUAAUAAAUCCUGUGUCUCAUUCACUGGCUUCAAGUCUCUUCCUGGGCCUCUUGAACGUGGUGCCACCUGUAUUGAAGUCAACAGAAGUUCAGCACAACACAGGUCAAAAUGAAGAUUCUGACUCAGUAGGUCAGGAUGUUCUAACGAGCUCUAGCUGACAUGAUACGUCAGGGCUGCAGACUAGCUUUGAGCAACAAGGUGCUAGAGAAAUACCUAUAGAACAACAGAGAUGCAAGACAAAUGAGUUGGAAGUUAAAAGAUUUAAAUUCUUGUCUUAGUUUUCUCAUUAAAGAAAAGCUGUGUGACUAUGAAAAAAAA
rnacentral:lncRNA from 1 species